GCGGGGCCUCUCCAGGGCCGGGCCGCGUCACGGAAGGAGCGUUUCCCGGCUGUCGGGCCGACUGUGCCGAGCUGCAGGACGGGGCCUUUGUCUCCCGCUGUAUUCGAGGAGGAGUUUCUCUCUCCGUGCCCUCCGGGUGGUUGUUUAGACCGCCGUUAACUCAGCCCUCUGCCUCCCCUUCUCCAGACGAAAUGAAAUGACAUUCCUUCAUCCUUCCUGCCAGCCCCCGUGUCCCUGAGCCACCCCACCUGAAUGUGUGAUGCCAUUUCGUGACGGGACCGAGCAAGCGCUGAGGGCGGACACCGGUGGCUCAGACCCAGACCUGCUGCCUGGAUGGCAUCCAGCCCUUCACCCGCACCCCCGGCCUGAGCCCAGCUCCCUGUGUUUGCAUGGCAGCUGCAGAGCUCCUAGGCUCUGGCGCUCAAAAGCGGCAUUCUCUGACAAAGAUGCUGGCUGACGUGGCCAGGAGAUGCGUGUAGGAACACACAAAUGGACUUUAAGAAGUGCUAUUUUCAAUUGAAGUGCUAUUUUCAAUUCUUCAGUUCAACUUUGAUGAUGGAUUUUCUAAAACCUUCUGGAACUAAAGACAGGCAAUGGCUCAAUUUUCUCUUACCAAUUAGGAUCCCCAGGCCAAAGGAGCCAUGACACAGCUUGGUUUGCCACAGGCCUUGGGAACUCAGAGGUGUGCAGAGGUACCUGAUGUACUGGCCUAACUGCAACAGUUGUUUAACACUGAGGCAGGGGCCGUGCUGCUGUCUGGACAAAGCAUUACGAUAUGGGGCAUUUCCACAGAGAUGUGUGUCAAAAGCAGAGAGAAGCCAGGUGACUUCCUGAAGCAUCCUGUCCUCCCUGUCAUGAGAAGCACUUCUGCCCUUCUCUCCCUCCACCUGUGUUCUUCUCCAGGCAUGCAGAGCCAUCCACUGGCCAUGUCCCAGUUGGUGCCUCCCUGGCCCUGCAGCUUUGUGCUGUCCGUGUGUCCAAAAUGCACACAAGGAAUGCUCCCUGAACCCUGCUGCGCCCUGUGCCUGAGUGCAGCAUCCCUACUCUCUUUCCAUUUUUUCCCUAAUGAUUCUGGCUGCAUUAUGUUAUAUGGAGAGCAAACCCUGAUCCUACCAUCUGCUCUCCCACUCUGCCUGCUGGCUCCAAGGCCUGCCUCACCACUUUGGGGGUUUACCUGAGGUGGUGAAGCUGCUGGGGUGGGGCUGUCCCUUUCCCUUGGUCACCACUGCGGUGUGGGCAUGGCUGUGUGUCCUUGCACAGGGCUGAACGCUGCCUCUGAGCCACCUCCAGUGAGGUGGCACCAUGGCGGCUCUUGCUCAGCGCAGAAUCCAGUGUGACAACAAAUAUGAAAUCCUCUGCAGCUAAUUAAUUAUCUCAGAUCCCUUCCAUAUUACAGGGGGUGGGCAGCAAGGCUUUGGGAGUGCAGAUACUUUAGGAUCAGCUUUGAAAAUAAACCCGAAUAAGCCACUUUUUUGGAGAUUAAACUGACUCCUCCUGGAAACCACUGCAGGGGAAGAGCACUUGUUUAUUAA